rnacentral:rRNA from 1 species
UACGGAGGGUGCAAGCGUUAUCCGGAUUCACUGGGUUUAAAGGGUGCGUAGGAGGGCAGGUAAGUCAGUGGUGAAAUCUCCAAGCUUAACUUGGAAACUGCCGUUGAUACUAUCUGUCUUGAAUAUUUGUGGAGGUGAGCGGAAUAUGUCAUGUAGCGGUGAAAUGCUUAGAUAUGACAUAGAACACCAAAUUGCGAAGGCAGCUCACUACUCAAUCAUUGACUCUGAGGCACGAAAGCGUGGGGAUCAAACAGG